AUCAUCUCCAGCGCGUGGUGGGGGAACUGCUGGGGAAGGCGAUUGGCAUCGAUCUCUCCAUCCCUUCCGAGGCCCGACUUCGGAAUUGUCUUAGAAGAAAGAAGGAGUAGUGAAGAAGUUCUCACUGCAGAAGAUUGUGAAAAUGUCUAUCAUCUGGUUUAUUCAGCUCACCGGCCAGUAGCAGUAGCAGCUGGAGAAUUUCUCUACAAAAAGCUCUUCAGUCGUAGAGAUCCAGAGGAGGAUGGAAUGAUGAAAAGAAGAGGAAGACAAGGUCCAAAUGCCAACCUUGUUAAGACAUUGGUUUUUUUCUUUCUAGAAAGUGAGUUACAUGAGCAUGCAGCAUACCUUGUGGAUAGCAUGUGGGACUGUGCUACUGAGCUGCUGAAAGACUGGGAAUGUAUGAAUAGCUUGUUACUGGAAGAGCCACUUAGUGGAGAGGAAGCACUAACAGAUAGGCAAGAGAGUGCUCUGAUUGAAAUAAUGCUUUGUACCAUUAGACAAGCGGCUGAAUGUCAUCCUCCCGUGGGAAGAGGGACAGGAAAAAGGGUGCUUACAGCAAAGGAGAAGAAGACACAGUUGGAUGAUAGGACAAAAAUCACUGAGCUUUUUGCCGUGGCCCUUCCUCAGUUAUUAGCAAAAUACUCUGUAGAUGCAGAAAAGGUGACUAACUUGUUGCAGUUGCCUCAGUACUUUGAUUUGGAAAUAUAUACCACUGGACGAUUAGAAAAGCAUUUGGAUGCCUUAUUGCGACAGAUCCGGAAUAUUGUAGAGAAGCACACAGAUACAGAUGUUUUGGAAGCAUGUUCUAAAACUUACCAUGCACUCUGUAAUGAAGAGUUCACAAUCUUCAACAGAGUAGAUAUUUCAAGAAGU
rnacentral:sRNA from 1 species